rnacentral:tRNA from 1 species
CACGACGGAGCUCAUUGGUAGAGCGCAGGGCUCACCCUGAGGUUGCUGGUUCGAUUCCAGCCGUCUCCA